UACUGUAAAGAUAGUAAUGGUACUGCCGCGUGUACUUGCUGGGAGUCAUAUAUUGGUAAUGGCUACGUCUGUAAUGGAAAUAUUCUUCAGACACUUCAAAAUACAGUUAAAGUGCAAAACUUCUACAAGGCGUUGUAUCAUCUCGGAAAUACUAACCAAGGGCAGUCGUUGUUUUCCUCUCUACAAAUUGAUUCGAAUUACGUUACAGUCUUCGCACCAAUCAACAGCGCACUGAGAAUAAAGGAUCUCAACAUAACUCUAGCCAAGAACUUCAUUAUAUCAGGACGAAUAGUACUUUCAACUAUUAAUGAUGUCUACACAGCAACCAAUCUCCUGGGUACCAAGAUUAUGAUUCG